GAGACGACUUACUAUAACGUUUUUCAGGCCACACGUCCUACCGUUGAUUUUUUGAUAAGGAAUCCCUAAUUAUUUAUUUUAUGCGUAUGUUUAAUUUUAUUUUUCUUUUUCAUUUGUUUAAAUUUUUACAAGAGGAUGUACACUAAAAUGCAUAAUUACUCUCCCCAGGAAAUCUGUAUAAUGGAAUUACAUAAAUGCAGGGAGAAUUAUCCAUAA
rnacentral:misc_RNA from 1 species